GUAUGGAUCCUCCUUCUCAGAAAUCCCAGAAACAUUCCUGCUUUUGAGCUAUGUGCAAAAUAAAUCUGGGAAUAAAAAAAAAAAAAAGCCUUCCGAGCAGAGAGGAACAAGAGACAAAGAGAUGUGUGUCUCAGCAAGACUUCCACAGAGAAGCCUCAACCUGUGUGCAAGGUGAAAAAGAAUAACAGGGUGACGUCAGCAUUGGCUGGGGAUGGGCAAGGGAGGGCCCUUUUCAUCACAGUCUGGCACAGAAACACAAGGCUUCAGCAGAGGGAGGAAGUACAGAUCCUUACUUCAGAAAUAUAAAUCCUUUUUUAAUAAGUGACUGAAAUGGUCAUUUGGAAACAGAUUACAAAACAUUUCUAACAAGCUUAUCAUGUGAAUUUCUGGUGCAAUCAUCCCCCCCUCUGUUUUCUGCAGACCUUACAUUUCCUGGGAAGGAGGAACUCUGUGCUGUCCCCAUGGAAUGGGAAGGACUUGGAUGCUUCACUAGGGCUUCUCUCUUCACCCCUCAUGAGCAGAGAUACUGAUCUUCAGUGCUGGUCCCAGAGGAAAAUUCACAAUUGGACAUCAGAGUGACCACAGAUGACAAAUGCAACAGCUUAUGGGAAAUGGAAUGUGAAAUAUCUUCAGAGGGGCAGCUUCUCUGGGUACUCAAACCAGGGCUAAGACACCUCGGAUUUAAGGUAAUAGCUACUAUAACUUUCUGAAAAUGAAGACCCUUUCCCUCUUUUGCCUUUUUUAUUCUUGCAAGUAUUUGCUACCCCAUCAUUAGGAUGCCUUUUUUGUUCUUUUACUCCUGAUCGAUGGCUCAGAGUUAUUUGUUUAGUCAUUAUUUUUAGUUUUGUGCGUGGCUGUUUGUCUGUUUAUUGAAAUGAACUGCCAUCCGGGCACCCUGAUCAAAGCAAAAGGCAUGAAAUCCCACGUGUUGCCCUUUUGAGAGCAACAACAAUGAAGCUAACCUUUCACCCUUGACUUUCUUUUAACCCUAAUUUUGAAAGACAGUAGCAAACAAUUCAGCUAACUUAAGUAAAAGAAUAUUCAAACUAGCUCGAUUGUAAUGCAGUGCUCCUUUCAAGUGAAUGGAAGGUCUGGAGUAAUGCAUGCAAGCACAGAGGCUGGGUAAGUUCAUUACUUUGGAGUUUCUGGUGCAGUAAUAGCAGUGAAAUGGUUAAAAGGCUGACUUUAAAGUGGUCACAAUUAGGCUUCAAAGUUAACACCCCACCCCACUGAGAUGAAUGGGAGCAGUUGACAUUUCUCAGUGCUAUUGUUUCAGUCUGGCUUGCUAUAGCUUCUAAAAUAAGACAACAGUACAUCUGUUUACAUUCUGCUUCCGCGAACCCAGAUGGGCUAGAAACUUCAUUGUUUGUUAAGUGGAAGCUUGGAUUCUGGAGAAUACAGCAAUAUCCACAGGGUAUCUGUAGGAAGAAGAGCCGAAAGCCGCCUUAAUCACAGACAUCUCCCCCUUCUCUAUAAACUUCCAUUGUCCCAGGACAAAUCUGUAAACCACAGGGGGAAAAAUAAAGUCAUAUAUAUUUGAAGUACUUUUUGCUUACAACAUGACAUGCCCACAAUGACUUCUCAUCAAGUCCCUAGCAUGCAAAUUUUCAUGGAUGUGGUGUUUUGAACUUUUUUCUCUUUUAGUAGUUUGUAGGAGGUAAAGGUCCUGCAUUUUACUGAAUGUGGUAGCUUCUCUUAAGCCUCUCCUAAAAGAAAAUUCUUCUGUCUCUAGAGAAGCCGGGGUUCCACCCAGGAGUGUUUGAGACCAGGUGUCACUUUGAGUUCAUAUGGGUAGAAUCCUUGAAUUUAUUUCUGAGGCUGUUAACAGAAGAAAGAUUUUUGAGAGGAAGGUUUUGUGUUUUCCCGAUACUUUCAUACGGGCAGCCACAUUGACUGGGGUAAGAUUCUAGGAGCUGGAAUGGAUUAAUAAAGGUGCAAGUGGGGCCAGAAUUUGGAGCAGAUGGUCUCUAUUACCCCAUGCCUCAGUUCAUGUAGGGAGAGCACACUGUCCUCUCAGACUUUUGCUGAGGGGUCUGCACAGUGGCAAAGUGCCCUCAGCAGCAGCCAGAGCCCUGUGAGAGCUCCUCUGAUAAAAGAGACCCAUUAGAUAUGCUCAGGCUGUAGAUUGAAACCAGCUGGGAAUCUGUCGGGAAGAUUUUCCUCAUUGUGCUUUCACGGGGUGGAAAGUUUGCGGCUUGUUUUGCAUAAAUGUGUAUUUUGGGCUUCCUUGCUCUGACUUGGUGAGUCCCAGAGCCUGCCAGUGAUAAGAGCUCUCAUGCAUACAGGCUCCUUUGUACCCUGGCACUCAGAGAUCCUGCUUUCCUUUUGCCCAUGGACAGCACAGCUUGUGCUUUGGAAGUGCUGUUGUGGGCUCUCCCAAAUGGUGUCUCCCAGGUUUCAACCCUGGCUGAGUUGGAUGGUGAAGGCAGGCGUGCAAUCUGGGGUUUGGGCUCCUGACACUUGCUUCCUGCCCAACUGCAAGCUGCAUUCUGUUCUGACUAUAGAAUGCAGUGGCCCUGAGCCCUGACAGGCCACCAGGUUGUCUGAGACAGCUGUGGCCAUU